CACGUAGUUAGCCGGGCCUGAUUCGGAGGGUACCGUCAGUAUCGUCCCCCCCAAAAGGAGUUUACAACCCAAGAGCCGUCAUCCUCCACGCGGCGUUGCUCGGUCAGGCUUGCGCCCAUUGCCGAAAAUUCCUUGCUGCUGCCCCCCGUAGGAGUUUGGGCCGUGUCUCAGUCCCAAUCUGUCUGGUCGUCCUCUCAGACCAGAGACCCAUCACGGGCUUGGUGCGCCAUUACCACACCAACAACCUAAUGGGACGCGACCCCCGCCCAGUGCGCAUUACUGCUUUCCUUCACCGAAGUGAAUCGUAUGCGGGAUUAGCGAGUCUUUCGACCCGUUAUCCCCCACACCGGGGUAGGUUAGUCACGUGUUCCUCAGCCGUGCGCCACUCAUUCCGAAGAAUGCGUUCGACUUGCAUGCAUUAGGCACGCCGCCAGCGUUCGUCCUGAGCCAGGAUCAAACUCU
rnacentral:rRNA from 1 species